ACAAGGAGGAGAUGACUUCUAAGGGCUCCACUGGAAUAGAAGUUAUCCUGUCAGCCCUAGAGGUAAAACCUUCCGAUCUGUGUGGUUAUGGAAUACAAAAGAUCCUCAAAGUAUUCGAAAUAUAUUGAAUAUCCUCAUUGAGAUUGUGUCAGUUGGUGGCGGUCAGAGGGCAGGCGUCUUAGUCACUAAAGGAGGGACACAGAUCUUAUUGCAGUUGCUUUUGACUGCCAGCAAAGACUCU